rnacentral:rRNA from 1 species
GACGAACGCUGGCGGCGUGCUUAACACAUGCAAGUCGAGCGGUAAGGCCCUUUCGGGGGUACACGAGCGGCGAACGGGUGAGUAACACGUGGGUGACCUGCCCUUAGCUCUGGGAUAAGCCUGGGAAACUGGGUCUAAUACCGGAUAUGACUCCAUGACGCAUGUUGUGGGGUGGAAAGCCUUGUGCGGCUAGGGAUGGGCCUGCGGCCUAUCAGCUUGUUGGUGGGGUGAUGGCCUACCAAGGCGACGACGGGUAGCCGGCCUGAGAGGGCGACCGGCCACACUGGGACUGAGACACGG